rnacentral:rRNA from 1 species
GACGAACGCUGGCGGCGUGCUUAACACAUGCCAGUCGAACGGAAAGGCCCUGCUUUUGUGGGGUGCUCGAGUGGUGAACGGGUGAGUAACACGUGAGUAACCUGCCCUUGACUUUGGGAUAACUUCAGGAAACUGGGGCUAAUACCGGAUAGGAGCUCCUGCUGCAUGGUGGGGGUUGGAAAGUUUCGGCGGUUGGGGAUGGACUCGCGGCUUAUCAGCUUGUUGGUGGGGUAGUGGCUUACCAAGGCUUUGACGGGUAGCCGGCCUGAGAGGGUGACCGGCCACAUUGGGACUGAGAUACGGCCCAGACUCCUACGGGAGGCAGCAGUGGGGAAUAUUGCACAAUGGGCGGAAGCCUGAUGCAGCAACGCCGCGUGCGGGAUGACGGCCUUCGGGUUGUAAACCGCUUUCGCCUGUGACGGAGCGUGAGUGACGGUAAUGGGUAAAGAAGCACCGGCUAACUACGUG